rnacentral:rRNA from 1 species
UACGUAGGGUGCGAGCGUUAAUCGGAAUUACUGGGCGUAAAGCGUGCGCAGGCGGUUCGUCGUGUCCGAUGUGAAAGCCCCGGGCUCAACCCUGGGGAAUGGCAUUGGAAACUGGCGGGCUUGAGUGUGGCAGAGGGGGGUGGAAUUCCGGCGGUGUAGCAGUGAAAUGCGUAGAGAAUGCGGAGGAACACCGAUGGCGGAAGGGCAGCCCCC